rnacentral:rRNA from 1 species
AGUGAACGCUGGCGGCGUGCCUAAUACAUGCAAGUCGAACGGAGUGGCGCACGGGCGAGUAAUGUAUAGCUACUCUGCCCUACACUAGAGGACAACAAUUGGUAACGGCUGCUAAUUCUCUAUAGUGUAGGAUGAGGCUAUAUUGUAUCCGAUAGUUGGUGAGGUAAUUGCUCACCAAGGCUAUGAUGCAUAACUUGUCAGGGAGUAUGAUCAGUGACACUGGAACUUAGACACACUACAGAAUCCUACCAGAGGCAGCGAUAAAGGACAUUGCUCCAGGGGCGAAAACCUGAAAGCGCAACGCCGCGAGGAGGAUGACAAUUUUCGGAGAAUAAACUCCGUUUGUUAGGGAAGCGGUACCUUGCGAAUAAGCACCGGCUGACUCCGUGCCAGCAGCCGCGGUAAUAC